GUGUCAGCAGCCGCGGUAAUACAGAGAGUGCGAACGUUGUUCGGAAUUACUGGGCUUAAAGCGCACGUAGGCGGCAUUGCAAGUGUCCGGUGAAAUCCCACGGCUCACCCGUGGAACUGCCUGGCAGACUGCAAUGCUCGAGUGUGGUAGGGGAGAGCGGAACUCCUGGUGGAGCGGUGAAAUGCGUAGAUAUCAGGAGGAACACCGGUGGCGAAGGCGGCUCUCUGGUCCACAACUGACGCUGAGGUGCGAAAGCUAGGGGAGCAAACGGGAUUAGAAACCCCUGUAGUCC
rnacentral:rRNA from 1 species